GAUCAUUCUUUUGACUAGUAAUCAGGUCCUCACUAGGAGCUUCUUGACUCCAUUGCACGACAUUUAAGUCGGCAUUAUCUCUAGCCUGUCGUCUUGUUAUGGCUUCAACAUGAAUUGAACCCAUAAGAUCAUCAAUGUUUAGGGUUUCACCAUUGAUGGCAGCUUGUUUUGCCAGUGAAUCAGCUAAGUCAUUACCAUCCUUGUCAAUACCUUCUAUUUUAG